GCAUGAGCUUCCGAUGUUAGUGCCAACAUCGUCUGAUAUUCAAGCUCAUAUUGCAGAAUCUUAUAAGAUGGUGUCAGCUUUAUAUGGGCCAUUCAAGAACAAAGCAAAGGAACAGGGUUGGGUAAUGUCUGAAUCACUACUUAAUCCUGGCCGAGCUCGACUGUGUCAAUUGGUCAAAUAAGACAUGGCGGUCUCAAAACGUCUUUACAAAUUUGGUAAUGGAUUUCAAAGAGCUCAGGUUGUUUAUCGUAUUUGAACAUUUACUCGAGUAUGCUCGGAACCAUAUUAUGCAUUUUUUGAGUGCGGCUUGUCAUCCGAGUUCAGAAUCACGCUGAACAUUUUUGCAGUGAAACAGCUAGUUUCUGGCAUGGAACAAAUAAAUAAAUCUACUCAUCUUUGAUUCAUUCAAUGUACGAGGUCUUCCAGAGUCAUCAAUGGUGCCGUGGCAGAGCAGCAGAGGUUGUAACUGUUUGAAGUAUUUAUUGUAUUUAUUUUACCUUUUUAAAUUUUAAGAAUAAAUGUAAUAGUAGCCACUGAUUUUCGGCAUGCCUUUGGUUUAGUACCAACAUUUUCUGUAGUUCUGUUUC